AGCAAGGGCGGGAGCAGGGCUGCGGCCGCGCCCAGAUACCCACCGCACCGCACCGCACCGCACCGCACCGGGGGAGGGAGACAAACCCGCCCCCGCCGCGACCCGAAGCCUCCGGGGGGAGGUAGGAGGUGCCGGGGCCUCGUGCUCGGACUGGAGCCGCUAGGGUGCAAGGGACAGCAGGGCCUACUCGUGUGGGGUGUCACAUAGGGGGUGCACCUUCACCCCCCCCGAGCGUGCUGGUGCACCCCCUGCAAAAAGGCACUGCCCGGCGUUGCCACUCGCCACCCCGCCACCAACACCGUCGGCGGUGUCUGUGGGCGGUCCAGGAUCCCCACUGGCCGCUGCCAGCGGUCGCCAACUGUUGGUCCGUGGUCACCGCACACCCACCGCCGCCGGCAGCACCCCCGCUUCCUGCUCCCGCCGUUGUGCCCCUCCAGCCACCCAGGGCACGCGUCGGUCAUGGCUACGAAGGAGCACGGGACAGGGAGUCCACUAGGACAGGGACUCUCAACCUUUUUUGUAAAUGUGGAUGGCCAGUCCCCACUCCGUGCCCCACGCACACGAGACAAAAUGCAUAGGGAGACCUGGGAAAAUAGCUUAAAAAACAGGUUUUUUUCCCUCUCACAGCCCUAACUCACUGAUCUAUGCUCCCUCUUUCUAGCCCAACAAAUCUGUAGUUAUUGAUGGUUAGGGCAUACUCUUAAGAAGUAAAAACAGGAGCAUUUGAAUCCAUCUGGCUGAUAAAGGUAUUUUACCAGGUCUCCCACAUCUUAGCAAAAUGCUCUGACACCCGAGCUAUUGAGUAAAAGGGGAGGUGACAGCACCACAAACCCAGGCCUGUAUUUUUGGAUGAAAGCAACCCUACAAUUUGCUAGAUCAUUAACAACGCGUGCCCCCGGCACCUGGGGAGCACAGUGGCAGUGGGAGCACGGUGACGGCGGUAAGUGGGGAGCUCCCGCAAACACCGCCAGUGCUGUCGGCGGCAGGAGGGGGUGCGGCAAGCAUGAACCAGAGGUCGGUGACCAUGCGCAGACGCCGCCAGCAGCAGCAGCCAGUAGCAAUCGCAGACCACCCGCAGACGCCGCCAGCAGUGUCGGCAGCGCCUUGUAGGGGGUGCACCGCCACACUCAGGGGGUGCACAUGCACCUGCGUGCACCCGCUACAUGUCGCCCCUGUGCUAGAUCAAAAGUAGGAAUGUGAUUAGGUGUGACCUAAGCAUACACUGACUCAGGCCUUUAGGGAGAAACAAGUGCUGGAAUAUCUAGUUUGAGGGUUCCUAAAGGAUUUAUAUGAGAUAAGUACUUUGUCCUACCACAGCAGAGGCAGUUCUGGGUACACACAAAGUAGAAAUCUAGGCUUCUAGGAAACAUUACUGGCAAAAACACAGGUGUCUUAGAUGCCUAUAAUAGGUUGGCAACCUGCAGCCCACAGGCCAGAUCCAGCCUGCAAGGAGGUCCCUCCCAUGUCUGGUCUAUGAAGGAUUGGUUGCAUGAAGCUGCACUGUGCUUCCCAUCCCCUCCACAGCAUUUCCCUCUCCUGCAGAUCCUGCUGUUCUACCAUGUCUGCAGCAAGGGAAACUGCAAGUGAGCUGGCUGCUCCAGACUUUUAGCCCAGGGCCACAGCUGGGUUGCAAGUUCCCCACAGGCAAAAGGUUGCCAUCCCCUAGCUUACAACAUAAGGCAAAGAUUUUGAGGAUAGUACUGCACCCGUCUGGUCUCGUAUAGGUGCUCUGUAGCAACCUUAGAGUGCACGCCCUGCUCCGUCCAUGGAGUGUGUCCCCAGGACUUCUGCAUUGGGUCGCGUUCACCCCUGAGGGAGGCCCCAACACUCUCCUACCAUGACUUGAUCUUCUUUCUUCAGUGGUGGGGCUCCCCCUUGUGGAUUCUUGCCUACUGGGUGCUGCCCUUUGUGGGCAUUCUUAGGGCUCCACCUCCCCUACAUCCCAGCCAUGCGCCAGCCCUCAGGACAACCAGAUGAUGGACCACUGGCUUGUUCCCUUGCUGUUUCCUCCAGCUCUUAUGCCUUCUUGCCUGUCCCUUGAUGCCUCUUUACCCCUGGUGACUACGGGGUGUGGGACUGUCCUCGUCUCAGCGUCUGCUCUCCCCUUUGAGGCGUUGCAGUCCACAGUGAUGACUUCGCUCUCCCUCUUGAACUGGGGGAUACUUGGAGAUGCCUUCCCCGGUCUGGGCUCUGUGUGCCCUCCAAAUGAUAAAAGAGAAGAAAAGAAUAGUCGGGGUACAGGCCUCGGCCCACCCCACUCACAGAUCCGGCGCCUGCGGCCCUCAGGAUCCCCCAACACCGUCCUCCUUGACCCAGCUGCCCUGCCGAGCCAGGUGGAUAUUUCUUUUUAGAGGAGCCAGGACCCUUCCUGUGCGUCCUCGUCUGGCCCCCUGCCAGGCUGACAACCCUGCUGCUGUGUCGCCCAGGGAGCAGCUUCGCCUUCUGGUUCCAGCUUUGCUGCCCCCGUCUCCGUUUCCCUGCCACCAGCUUUUAAAAUCAGCCAGGCGGCAGUUUCUGAUGAUGGAAAUAAAAGCAGCUGAUGAACUGUGCCGACAACACUUCUCGGCACAGCAUGGCUUUUCCUGAAAAGGGUUACAAAACACCUGGACGCAGGAGUAGGAGUAGACAUCGUUUACUUAGACUUCAGGAAGGCCUUCGAUACGGUAUCCCACACCAUACUGGUGAACAAGUUAAGAGGCUGUGACUUGGAUGACUGCACGGUCCAGUGAGUGGCGAAUUGGCUAGAGGGUCGUACCCAGAGAGUCGUAGUGGAUGAGUCGGUAUCGACCUGGAAGGGUGUGGGCAGUGGGGUCCCACAGGGCUCAGUCCUUGGACCGAUACUCUUCAAUGUCUUCAUCAGCGACUUGGACGAGGGAGUGAAGUGUACUCUGUCCAAGUUUGCGGAUGACACAAAACUGUGGGGAGAAGUGGACACACCAGAGGGUAGGGAACAACUACAAGCAGACCUGGACAGGUUGGACAUAUGGGCAGAAAACAACAGAAUGCAAUUCAACAUGGAGAAAUGCAAAGUGCUGCACCUAGGGAGGAAAAAUGUCCAGCAUACCUACUGCCUAGGAAAUGACCUGCUUGGUGGCACGGAAGCAGAAAGGGAUCUUGCAGUCCCAGUGGACUCCAAAAUGAACAUGAGUCGUCAGUGUGAUGAAGUCAUCAGUGUCACAACGCAAUUAAAUUGUGCCCAUGCCACUAAGCAAGAGAUACCAUUCAAAUCAUCCUCAUUUUGACGAUUAAGGGUUAAAAGACUUCCCUGCCAAAAUUCCUUGAAACAAAACGCAGCCGGAGUACUGUAGAUAAUUGGUCAGCUGAAAUAAAAAGCGAGGGGAAACUAUAUAUAAUUGGUCAAAAAAAAAAAUAAGCGUAAGCUCCUCACACGUAGCACACACGUAACAGGUAGAGAAACCUAACCCACUAGUUUGUAACUUGAGGAAACAAAGAGCUGCUACCUGCCAAAAAAUUAAAGAUUCCAUAUAACGGUUCACGAUUGGGUAUCUAUGUCAAACACCUCUGCCUAUAAAUAGUUUAACAGUUUCCGCCCAAGGUGGAGAGCCCUGGGGAUUUCUGAACAGAGACACCUGUGUUCGUCACCAGAGAGAUUUGGGAACUUGAUCAAUUCCCAAAUAAACUCCCCGUCAUUGAAAAAUAUUGACGUAAAGACGUCUUGCUAGCCCGAGCGUUCCGGCGCCACGUCUGUCAUUACUUUGCUGUAACCUGAAUGCAUGUACUCAACUCUGUAACCGAAGCUGUAAUGGAACAAAGGCUCGCCUGCGUCGUCAUCACUAUCUAGGCGACGUAAGUAAACAGACUCCUGUAACCUACACGUGUCUGUGCCUGGUUAAUUCCACUCCAUCCAUCAAUUACCCGCCUGCCAAGUUCAAAAUAUAAACACUCCGGUGUGAGUCAGACGGCUGCCGGCGGCUGCUCUGAUUCACGACAUGGCGUCACGAACAGGAUCAAGGGGAGAUGUGAUGGAGUUAAAAUUAAUUAAGAACUGCCCCUGGUGCAGUGGGGGGCGCCGUGCAGAUAACGCGGAUGAAUUAUGGGCCCACAUAGUUUAUCACCAAGCGGGCGGAGCGGAGACGGGAUGCGUCAGCGGCUGCUUCUCGCUAAAAGGGGAAGAGGGAGUUGGAAAGGAGUGGGCAGGCUCCGAGUGGGACAAAGGGAAGAUGAUUAACGCAGUGUCACUCCUGCUAUGUGAAAAUGCGAACUUAAAAACCCAGCUAGCUACGGUCAGCAAAGCUGCCGCGGAGAUGGCAGCUUGCCAAAACCCUCCGCAGCCACCAGAAAAUGGCACCGAAAAAAAAAUGAGCUGCCCGGAGAACCCGGAAAAGGAGGGCGGAGCCACGAAAGAACAGGUGGGACUCCACCCAGCAAGCCCGCCCCCUGAGAUGACGUCACUCCCAACGGCCCUCACCUCCAUACCACAGGGAGGGGGCAACGAGUGGGAAUUUAUAUCCGAUCCUCCCACCAGACACAGUAACAACUACAGCAGCCGCUCACCCUGUAGCAACAACCAAGCAAGUAACCAACCCAGAGGGUGCAACCACCACCACCACCCUUGACGCCAUCGAAGCAUGCAUGGAGAUUUACGGAGGAGAGGACGCCAUCACCCUUCACUUCCUCCUCAACCUGCUCACUACUCAGCCAGCAGAAAAUCUUUUAAGUCAACUUCCACGACUGCAAGCCCUUGUGGAGUCAGUAGCUGCAAACCCAGCCAGCAUAUCAAGCCACCUUAUUGCAUACCCGGUCAGGCACCAAGGGCCAAGACAUUCCCAAUUCGACUCACGAAAGGAAUCAAGACUGCCACCCCAGAGGAUGCCGGAGGAAAGAGCCAUGUUUGGGUUCCUCCUAAACCACUCCGCGCUUAUCAAGCAACAGCUACGCGUCCUAGAAGAUGCGGGACAAUGACAACUGACACAUAUAUUAGGCUACCAACCUCAACUGAUCCCGCCAACCGGUCCGGGCCCCGGAGGCACCCACACCUAGCAGCACUCUCUGGAUAACACCGCAGCCAGCCCCAAAAAGCAACUACUCGAAGGGGGCAUCUAUGAACUAUUCCAACCACUACGACAUCACGUCCAUUGAUGUACAAAAGACAAUUUUAUUUUUUUCUAGUUUCCUUUGCUUUUAACAGGCCCAGAACCUGAGACGCGCAGCGACAAGGGACCCAGCCCAGAGAGAGAGAGAGAGAAAGCACCACCACAGACACUGAAGCCCGGCGUGUGACGUCACCAUGACACCUGGCAACACCUUCAUACUCAGACUUUUCGUAAUUAACCUAAUCCCAUUAGCUUUUCUGUUAAAUGUAGGAGACCCCUCACACCCCAACGCUGUUUUAUCUCUUCUGUCAGUGUGGGCGAAUAUGACGGGGUCUAACGACACGUUGGGGCUAACCACUUGUCUAAAACUUCCUUUGUCGGUUGCUGACCCAGUGUUGGAUCCCAUUGCGUACCCACUAAAUGUUUCUGCUUGGUUUCAGGCGAAAAACGGGGCUCCUCACAAAAGUGCCAAUUUAACUUUUCCCAGUGCCAGGGGACCUCGCCACCAUACGUACUCUUGGUCUGUUAACAUAACCCUCGAUGCCAUGGGUCAAAAAGGCUUUUCCCGAAGCAUCAUCGACCCAGCCUCAGGCAAACGCAGCACUCAGCAGCUGCUUGGUUCUGAGGUCCCAUGGGAAAUCCCAGGCGAAGGGGUAGAUUGGCAACGACUGGAUAAUUCGCUUAGGUGGUACCCAAGAAAGGGUUGGUCACCACCCUGGUACUUACCCCUUCCGCCCGACCCCAAUUUGACCACAACUAACACCAAUGUUAAAACUUCAGGACCUCCACCUUUUGGGCCUUCUCCCUUGUUAACCGCAAAACCAAUCACAAUGUGGAACGCUUCCUUAGCAGUGAAUGUUUCGGACAAUACGAGCUGAUAUUCGUAUUAUUACCCUAUCGUAAGAGCAGCCCAAAUUGGCCAGUGGUGUCAUAAUCUUUCAGCAGCAUCACCCAAUCCCAAUGCUGUCCCUGGCGAGUUACACCCCAAAGCAUGGAUGGGGUCAGCCCGGUAUAAAACCAUAAGUACCCCAGCUCCUGCCGGGUUACUAUGGGCCUGUUCGGAUGGGCAUUUAUAUACAAUGCUCCCUGGAGCCCUCUCAGGAGUACAAUGUUUCUUAGCUAUGGUUGUGUUAUGUCCACCAGUGUACGACAACACAGCACGACCACCCACUCCCAUGUUGCGCCACCAUAUGCGGCGGGGUGCCACUUAGAGUUCGCUUACCGAGGAAGGGAACCAAUCAAGCUUUACGAUGGGUUUUGGAAGGUACCUUCCUCUGGAGGGGGCUUAGCGUAGGUAAAGCCCGCGUAGCAAUCGCUAUGUUAGCAAAAGAAGUAGAACGCAUAGUUAACGACACUACUGAUAGUUUUGCCUUAAUUAACCAACAACUACAAGCCACUUUACAAAUGUCAAUACAAAAUUGCUUGGCAUUAGAUGCUCUUUUACUUAAAGAAGGCGAACUUUGCCAAUUUUUUAAUCUUUCCCUUGACCAUUGUUAUAUUGGUAUCCCCAAUGUGUCCCUUCUUCUAGAACACCAACUCACGUCGAUGCGAAAAAAUUGCAGCAAGAACCAACAACAUCGCAGGACUAGGAAAGGGAUGGUUAGCCGACCUUUUCGGCUGGAUGGGAUGGGAUACAUCAUCUUGGUCAAUGCACAUAUUAACCUCGCUUAUUAGCUUGUGCUUGCCGUUAAUUGCAAUAGCCGUAGUUGUGUGUUUAGGUUGUUGUAUCCUGCAACUCAUAAAGAAACGACUAAUGAAGCUUUCUGCUUUUGUAUAUACCCGCUUGCCAGAAGAAAAACCUAAUGACAGCGAAUAUGACGACGAGAACGAGCUAUAAUUUAAAAUAAAGUGGUCACUUGCUGUGCCAUGGGCAAGGGGGCAUGUCACAACCCAAUUAAAUUGUGCCCAUGCCACUAAGCAAGAGAUACCAUUCAAAUCAUCCUCAUUUUGACGAUUAAGGGUUAAAAGACUUCCCUGCCAAAAUUCCUUGAAACAAAACGCGGCCGGAGUACUGUAGAUAAUUGGUCAGCUGAAAUAAAAAGCGAGGGGAAACUAUAUAUAAUUGGUCAAAAAAAAAAUAAGCAUAAGCUCCUCACACGUAGCACACACGUAACAGGUAGAGAAACCUAACCCACUAGCUUGUAACUUGAGGAGACAAAGAGCUACUACCUGCCAAAAAAUUAAAGAUUCCAUAUAACGGUUCACGAUUGGGUAUCUAUGUCAAACACCUCUGCCUAUAAAUAGUUUAACGGUUUCCGCCCAAGGUGAAGAGCCCUGGGGAUUUCUGAAAAGAGACACCUGUGUUCGUCACCAGAGAGAUUUGGGAACUUGAUCAAUUCCCAAAUAAACUCCCCGUCAUUGAAAAAUAUUGACGUAAAGACGUCUUGCUAGCCCGAGCGUUCCAGCGCCAUGUUUGUCAUUACUUUGCUGUAACCUGAAUGUGUGUACUCAACUCUGUAACCGAAGCUGUAAUGGAACAAAGGCUCGCCUGCGUCGUCAUCACUAUCUAGGCGACGUAAGUAAACAAACUCCUGUAACCUA